GGUUUCUUCCCGUGCCAACAAUGAGAAAGUAAUAUAAUGUCGGUUUCACAUCUUGAUUCUCCAGAAAAUGCCUCUGGCAUUGCACUUUCUGUAACAUAAUGGGGCAAACAGGACAAUUCCAAGAACUGUGCGCCAGGGUCCUCCGGGGACGCGGCGCUGGCUUAUAACUAUCGAGGGCGAACGUUCAAAGACCCCAUGACUCAGCACCUAGCCCUCCCCCUCGCCCCUCAGGAAAACGAAACAGCGCGUCACAAAAGUGGCUGAGAAAAUCCCCUUUGAAAGCGCUGCUGAAGCCAGGAGCGAACAAAAAGUUAAAGAGAGUUCUUUCCCAUGGGCGCUCACCCCCCUCGCGCAGGAUGACUGUGCAAAAAGGCUCCCUUCCUGCACGGCUUCCAGAAAUUGUGGGUCGGGGGGCGAGGUCGGGGGGAACUUAGGUCGGCCUCCUGGUGCCUGUUUGUAAGUCUCCCUCUGAACGGGAAAGACUCCGGAUCCUCCAGCGGCCUCCCGUCUCCACGGCCACCCCUGACCACCGGGCAUCCAAGGGGUCCCCCAUGGCCUCCAACUCCUCGGGAUGGGGGACCCGCAGACCUCCCUAGCUCCCUGAGCCUGCACAGCCUCUCUUCCGGUUGGCCCCCUGCCGCCUGUGUGUGGCCCUCCGUCACCCACAGGACCGCGAGCCAGCGGCCGCGGGACUCGCACCUUCCGCUGGUGCCUGGGGAGGGUGGCGUGCAGAGGGGGCAUAACUGGGCUUCAUUAGAUGAAGGAAUGACCACAGAGGGAGAGGGUGGGAGACGCCGCCCGGGGCCACGAGGACAGGCUGACGUCUGCUCUCUGUGACCUUUCAGCCCAGAAACGCUUCCCUGGACGUCACCACUUGGAUGCUUUACGGCAGCCACCGUCGGUCCCAGAGGUCCCAGUUUCUAGGCCGGGAAAAGGCCCCCUGCCGAGGCACGAGUCCCUCCCGUGGCUUAGAGGACAGGACAGAAAUAAUCCCUCCCAAGGCGAAGUCCGAGCACCCCUACCAAGGCGGACUGAAGGUGGGCAGCCCCAGGACAAUUCAGAGCAAGAAAGCCUAGAGGAGAGCUGUGUACCUUCCACCCACGUGCCCCUCGCCAGUCUAGAGCCAGACAGAUGUGCUCAGUGGGUUAAGAAUUCGCCUGCCAAUGCUGGGGAUACGAGUUCGAGUCCUGGUCUGGGAAGAUCCCACAUGCUGCAGAGCAACUAAGCCUGUGCGCCACAACUCCUGAGCCUGCGCUCUAGAACCCGCGUGCCACAACUACUGAGCCCGCGUGCCACAACUACUGAGCCUGCGUGCCACAACUACUGAAGCC